CCUACGGGAGGCAGCAGUGAGGAAUAUUGGUCAAUGGACGAGAGUCUGAACCAGCCAAGUAGCGUGAAGGAUGACUGCCCUAUGGGUUGUAAACUUCUUUUAUAAAGGAAUAAAACGAGGCACGUGUGCCUUUUUGCAUGUACUUUAUGAAUAAGGAUCGGCUAACUCCGUGCCAGCAGCCGCGGUAAUACGGAGGAUCCGAGCGUUAUCCGGAUUUAUUGGGUUUAAAGGGAGCGUAGAUGGGUUGUUAAGUCAGUUGUGAAAGUUUGCGGCUCAACCGUAAAAUUGCAAUUGAUACUGGCAGUCUUGAGUACAGGUGAGGUAAGCGGAAUUCGUGGUGUAGCGGUGAAAUGCUUAGAUAUCACGAAGAACCCCGAUGGCGAAGGCAGCUUACUAGACUGUGACUGACAUUGAUGCUCGAAAGUGUGGGUAGCAAACAGGAUUAGAUACCCGAGUAGUC
rnacentral:rRNA from 1 species